CAGUCGCCACGGGAAUACGUAGGGCGCAAGCGUUGUCCGGAAUUAUUGGGCGUAAAGCGUGCGCAGGCGGUUAUAUAAGACAGAUGUGAAAUCCCCGGGCUCAACCUGGGAACUGCAUUUGUGACUGUAUAGCUAGAGUACGGCAGAGGGGGAUGGAAUUCCGCGUGUAGCAGUGAAAUGCGUAGAUAUGCGGAGGAACACCGAUGGCGAAGGCAAUCCCCUGGGCCUGUACUGACGCUCAUGCACGAAAGCGUGGGGAGCAAACAGGAUUAGAUACCCGAGUAGUCCCUGUCUCUUAUAC
rnacentral:rRNA from 1 species